GCCGGGAUGUUGGAAUUGGUAGACAAGCAGGACUUAAAAUCCUGUGGUUGCAUAAACCGUGAGGGUUCGAGUCCCUCUCCCGGCA
rnacentral:tRNA from 1 species